rnacentral:pre_miRNA from 1 species
AGGCUACUCCUUCCGUUUCAUAAUUCUUGUCAAAAUAUUACAUGUAUCUACAAAAUUUAUAAAAAUAGAUACAUCCAUAUUUAAGCAAAUUUGAGACAAGAAUUAUGGAACGGAGAAAGUACCUU